AAGUCGAACGAAGUAGCAAUACUUAGUGGCAGACGGGUGAGUAACAUGUGGGUAUCUGCCCUUUGGCCUGGAAUAACACGAGGAAACUUGUGCUAAUACCAGAUAAGUCUUUACGGAGAAAGCUUUAUGCACCAUUGGAUGAGCCCGCACUUGAUUAGUUUGUUGGUGGGGUAAUGGCCUACCAAGACUGUGAUCAAUAGCUGAUUUGAGAGGAUGAUCAGCCACAUUGGGACUGAGACACGGCCCAAACUCCUACGGGAGGCAGCAGUGGGGAAUCUUGCACAAUGGAGGAAACUCUGAUGCAGCGAUGCCGCGUGAGUGAAGAAGGCCCUUGGGUUGUAAAGCUCUUUCGUCGGGGAAGAAAAUGACUGUACCCGAAUAAGAAGGUCCGGCUAACUUCGUGCCAGCAGCCACGGUAAUACGAAGGGACCUAGCGUAGUUCGGAAUUACUGGGCUUAAAGAGUUCGUAGGUGGUUGAAAAAGUUGGUGGUGAAAUCCCAGAGCUUAACUCUGGAACUGCCAUCAAAACUUUUCAGCUAGAGUUUGAUAGAGGAAAGCAGAAUUUCUAGUGUAGAGGUGAAAUUCGUAGAUAUUAGAAAGAAUACCAAUUGCGAAGGCAGCUUUCUGGAUCAUUACUGACACUGAGGAACGAAAGCAUGGGUAGCGAAGAGGAUUAGAUACCCUCGUAGUCCAUGCCGUAAACGAUGUGUGUUAGACGUUGGAAAUUUAUUUUCAGUGUCGCAGCGAAAGCGAUAAACACACCGCCUGGGGAGUACGACCGCAAGGUUAAAACUCAAAUGAAUUGACGGGGACCCGCACAAGUAGUGGAGCAUGUGGUUUAAUUCGAAGAUACGCGCAGAACCUUACCAACACUUGACAUGUUCGUCGCGACUUUAAGAGAUUAAAGUUUUCGGUUCGGCCGGACGAAACACAGGUGCUGC
rnacentral:rRNA from 1 species